UACAGAGGUCCCAAGCGUUGCUCGGAUUCACUGGGCGUAAAGGGUGCGUAGGUGGCCAGGUAAGUUCGGUGUGGAAGCUCGGAGCUUAACUCCGAAAUGUCAUUGAAUACUAUCUGGCUGGAGGGUCGGAGGGGAGACUGGAAUUCUCGGUGUAGCAGUGAAAUGCGUAGAUAUCGAGAGGAACACCAGUGGCGAAGGCGAGUCUCUGGACGACUCCUGACACUGAGGCACGAAAGCCAGGGGAGCAAACAGG
rnacentral:rRNA from 1 species